rnacentral:rRNA from 1 species
CCCUUAGAUGUCCGGGGCUGCACGCGCGCUACACUGUAGAAAACAGCGUGCUUUAAAACCUUUCCUGAAAAGGAUGGGUAACCCCAGCAAAAUUCUACGUGCUUGGGAUAGAGAUUUGCAAUUUUCUCUCUUGAACGAGGAAUUCCCAGUAAGUGCGAGUCAUCAGCUCGCGUUGAUUACGUCCCUGCCCUUUGUACACACCGCCCGUCGCUACUACCGAUUGGGAAAAUUUUAGAGAGUCCUGGACUGAUGAUUGUUCGGCUUCACGGCCUUACUUUCGUCGGGAAAGAAUUCGAUAAUAUUUUUCUAGAGGAAGUAAAAGUCGUAACA